ACCUUCCGGAUUUUAUGGCAUUUAGAAGGUUUUUAAAGGAAAUUAUAUCAAUCAAAUAUGGAAGGGGUUGUGUAUGAAAGGAUACCGACAAUCGUCCAAUUCACAAAACGUUAGUUUCGAGCCUGUAAAAGACAACCCACCGAAACCGAAUGAACAUGAACUCCUCUUCUCUCCCUUCUAUUGCUCGCUGCUGAUUUACUGACACUAGUUCGGCUACCCUAAACUCAACAGAAAACAUCACCAUAUGUUGCCACUCACAAUCACACAACCGCAAAUAACUGCCACUCGCCAACAUCUUCUUCGGUGUCUAAGUUUGGAAACUAUGUGGCCAAUAUUUAUGUUCAUGACCACCCUCAAUCGGAGUGCAGCCACCGCGCUACUCCGCCGUGACCACUACCUCACUAUUCAGGUUCGCUCACCGCCGUUCGGGUCACUACCGCCUCUAUCAGUUUCAUCCUUGGGUUCACGAUUCCAGCCACCCCCGGACUGCUAUGAUUCACCAGCGCCGCCCUUGAUCUAUUCCGUUCUUUCGACUGUUUGAGGUAACCUGGGAUAAUAUGGGAUUUCAAUGAGGAGCGUUAGGGGGUUGCUGACCAAGAUUCUUUAUUUCAGUAAUGUAAUAAAUGUAAUUAGGAUCUUUUAUUUAAUGCCAUGGAUUGGUUCUUAGUUUUGAUAUUUGUAAGAGUGACACGUCAGCCCUAGCAUGGUUGGGGUGUUACACGAUGAGUCCCCAUAUAACACAAGCAUCAAAUGUGACCUUGAACUUGGUGCAUGUCCAUGGACUCUCAGGAUGAAGCCCAUCGAUAUCGCAUAAGUUUUCGAUAUUCUCCAACAUCCACCAUGAGACCGCAAGAUUUGCCAUUCCAGAAACCAGAGUUCCCACCAGCUGACAGUAUACCCAAGUACAUCAGACAACUGUUAGAAAUCUAGAACAGAAUUCGAAGAACAUUACAGUUAUAUGAUAUGCAGAGAUCGAAGGAAGGAACCGUUUAUUGAAUAAAGAAAAAUAAUAUACAACCAAAAGUGUAUAAUCUGAUUACAUAUAUGUGUAUAUAUAGUCUUAAACUUAACCGCCAGGACUACCAUUUGUCAUGGCAGUUAUACCAUUCGAUUGACCCA